UGUACCUAAGAGCUUUUCACUGCAAAAUGGAAGCUGAAAAUGAACAAACUUCAGUUAACGUAACAAUAGCCAUGUCUGCUUGUGUUCGUCUAAGGUCCCUUACAUCAUAGUUGUCACCUGAUUGGUAGUGACUGUGAAAUAACAUCAGCUCUAAGGGAGAACUGAACCUCAGGAUCAGUCCCAAGAUGGCAAAGGAAGUGACAGAGGUCGGUCACCGCAGACUCCAGUGUUGGAGUCUUCAUUCCAGGUCUUCCCACGAAAGCAGGCUGGUUCACCUGCACAGUGGCUUGCUCAUCUUGGAGUACACAGCUUUCAAUUAAAGGCCGGUCUACGAAGGAAGCUCCCAUGGAAAUCCUGCUUCAAACUUCACAAAUUUAAAUCACGUUUGCUGCAAGUAUUCUUAAGUAGUUGUCUCAGCCUCCUGAGACUCACCGUUUCUUUAUAUGAAAUGCAAAUAACACUAAUGAACAUUAGAGGACUAGGAACAUUACACACUCCAAUUUCCCAUGUUGAAAGACUAGAAGAAAACAAAAUCAAGAAGCCCAUGUUAAAAACAAUGUGUAGAUGGCAAUUUUUGGUUUUGCUUUUUGACCUGAACUUUGCUUAUGUUUCUUUACAUCUGAAAAAAAUCUAUUUUUCUUUACGUUUAUGCUCCUCUAUUCCAGGAAGCAUUAAAGAAAGAUCCCAGCCA